rnacentral:rRNA from 1 species
GACGAACGCUGGCGGCGUGCUUAACACAUGCAAGUCGAACGGAAAGGCCCUGCUUUUGUGGGGUGCUCGAGUGGCGAACGGGUGAGUAACACGUGAGUAACCUGCCCUUGACUUUGGGAUAACUUCAGGAAACUGGGGCUAAUACCGGAUAGGAGCUCCUGCUGCAUGGUGGGGGUUGGAAAGUUUCGGCGGUUGGGGAUGGACUCGCGGCUUAUCAGCUUGUUGGUGGGGUAGUGGCUUACCAAGGCUUUGACGGGUAGCCGGCCUGAGAGGGUGACCGGCCACAUGGGGACUGAGAGACGGCCCAGACUCCUACGGGAGGCAGCAGUGGGGAAUAUUGCACAAUGGGCGGAAGCCUGAGGCAGCAACGCCGCGUGCGGGAUGACGGCCUGCGGGGUGUAAACCGCUUUCGCCUGUGACGAAGCGUGAGUGACGGUAAUGGGUAAAGAAGCACCGGCUAACUACGUG